GUCACAGUCAAAAUUAAAAGAGGCUGCAUUGUGAAUGGUAUAGCCCUUCCUAGGAGAUACAUACUGAAGUAUUUAGAGCCAGUGAUAUAAUCAGUAUUGAGUCAUGCAAAGAGUAUCUGCUUGGAGUAGUAAAAGUUCCAACAAAAGAGCUGCUGAUCAAGAGAUCUGGGAUCACAGGAUGGUAUCCUAUCAUUUUACCAGAAGACGGGGGCCUACCUCAUGGCUUGGAGCUCAUGCAGAAGAUCGUGGGUGGUCUGGAGCUUUCGGUUUCCUUCACACAUCGUGGAGAUAGAGAACGGGUGUUGGAAGCUGCUGAGCUAUUGGGCUGGAGCUUUGAGAACAGCUUGAAAGAUUUUGUCAGAAUGGAUGAAGGGGAGCCAGCCACUGUCACCAUCUCCACCCCAAGGCUGUGGCUGCCCAUCCAUUGCGUGCUGCUUGCUGGCCACAACCACAUUCAUAAGAAUACAUAUUGCUACCUUCGCUACAAGUUCUAUGAUCAUGAAGGCUUUUGGACCCCUCUCAAGAAGCCUAAGGAAUCUCUAAACAAAAAGCAGAUUAUGGUCACUUUCAAGGCAUCCAAAAGAGCAGAAGUCACCAGGGGCCCAUCACUGCUUUGGUACUUCAGGGAGGAGAGGCUAGAGAUCCAAGUGUGGCGAGCUUAUGGCAAUGACAGUGUGGAGAGACCCCAUCAGACAGACAGC
rnacentral:sRNA from 1 species